rnacentral:tRNA from 1 species
GUGAGUUAGCCAAGUGGUAAGGCGUAGGUCUGCAACACCUUGAUCGCCGGUUCAAAUCCGGCACUCA